rnacentral:rRNA from 1 species
CCUAGGUGCUGCAGCAGUGGGGAAUAUUGGACAAUGGGCGAAAGCCUGAUCCAGCCAUGCCGCGUGUGUGAAGAAGGCCUUCGGGUUGUAAAGCACUUUCAGUGGGGAAGAAAGCCUUGGGGCUAAUACCCUCGAGGAAGGACAUCACCCACAGAAGAAGCACCGGCUAACUCCGUGCCAGCAGCCGCGGUAAUACGGAGGGUGCGAGCGUUAAUCGGAAUUACUGGGCGUAAAGCGCGCGUAGGCGGUCUGAUAAGCCGGUUGUGAAAGCCCCGGGCUCAACCUGGGAACGGCAUCCGGAACUGUCAGGCUAGAGUGCAGGAGAGGAAGGUAGAAUUCCCGGUGUAGCGGUGAAAUGCGUAGAGAUCGGGAGGAAUACCAGUGGCGAAGGCGGCCUUCUGGACUGACACUGACGCUGAGGUGCGAAAGCGUGGGUAGCAAACAGGAUUAGAUACCCUAGUAGUC